rnacentral:rRNA from 1 species
ACGAACGCUGGCGGCGUGCUUAACACCUGCAAGUCGCACGGAAAGGCCCUGCUUUUGUGGGGUGCUCGAGUGGCGAACGGGUGAGUAACACGUGAGUAACCUGCCCUUGACUUUGGGAUAACUUCAGGAAACUGGGGCUAAUACCGGAUAGGAGCUCCUGCUGCAUGGUGGGGGUUGGAAAGUUUCGGCGGUUGGGGAUGGACUCGCGGCUUAUCAGCUUGUUGGUGGGGUAGUGGCUUACCAAGGCUUUGACGGGUAGCCGGCCUGAGAGGGUGACCGGCCACAUUGGGACUGAGAUACGGCCCAGACUCCUACGGGAGGCAGCAGUGGGGAAUAUUGCACAAUGGGCGGAAGCCUGAUGCAGCAACGCCGCGUGCGGGAUGACGGCCUUCGGGUUGUAAACCGCUUUCGCCUGUGACGAAGCGUGAGUGACGGUAAUGGGUAAGGAAGCACCGGCUAACUACGUG